rnacentral:rRNA from 1 species
GUCCGCACCGUAAACGAUGAUUACUCGUUGUUGGCAAUAUGACCGUCAGCGACCAAGCGAAAGCGAUAAGUAAUCCACCUGGGGAGUACGCCGGCAACGGUGAAACUCAAAGGAAUUGACGGGGGCCCGCACAAGCGGAGGAGCAUGUGGUUUAAUUCGAUGAUACGCGAGGAACCUUACCUGGGCUUGAAAGUUAGCGACCGGUCCUGAAAGGGAUCUUCCAGCAAUGGCGCGAAACUAGGUGCUGCAUGGCUGUCGU